rnacentral:rRNA from 1 species
CGGACGGGUGAGUAACGCGUGGAAAACCUGCCGUAUACUGGGGGAUAACACUUAGAAAUAGGUGCUAAUACCGCAUAAGCGCACAGCUUCGCAUGAAGCGGUGUGAAAAACUCUGGUGGUAUACGAUGGUUCCGCGUCUGAUUAGCUAGUUGGUGGGGUAAUGGCCUACCAAGGCAACGAUCAGUAGCCGGCCUGAGAGGGUGAACGGCCACAUUGGGACUGAGACACGGCCCAAAUCCUACGGAAGGCAGCAG